rnacentral:tRNA from 1 species
GCAGUGGUGAUUCAGUGGUAGAAUCCUCACCUUCCAUGCCAGAGACCUGAGUUCAAUUUCUGGCCAAUGUG